rnacentral:misc_RNA from 1 species
GAUGAAGAACGUAGCGAAAUGCGAUAAGUAAUGUGAAUUGCAGAAUUCAGUGAAUCAUCGAAUCUUUGAACGCACAUUGCGCCCCCUGGUAUUCCGGGGGGCAUGCCUGUUCGAGAGUCAUUUCACCACUCAAGCCUCGCUUGGUAUUGGGCAACGCGGUCCGCCGCGUGCCUCAAAUCGACCGGCUGGGUCUUCUGUCCCCUAAGCGUUGUGGAAACUUUCGCUAAAGGGUGUUCGGGAGGCUACGCCGUAAAACAACCCCAUUUCUAAGGUUGACCUCGGAUCAGGUAGGGAUACCCGCUGAACUUAAGCAUAUCAAUAAGCGGAGGA